rnacentral:rRNA from 1 species
AGAGUUUGAUCAUGGCUCAGAUUAAACGCUGGCGGCAUGCCUUACACAUGCAAGUCGAACGGCAGCACGGGGGCAACCCUGGUGGCGAGUGGCGAACGGGUGAGUAAAGCAUCGGAACGUGCCCUGGAGUGGGGGAUAACGUAGCGAAAGUUACGCUAAUACCGCAUAUUCUGUGAGCAGGAAAGCAGGGGAUCGCAAGACCUUGCGCUCUGGGAGCGGCCGAUGUCGGAUUAGCUAGUUGGUGGGUAAAGGCCUACCAAGGCGACGAUCCGUAGCGGGUCUGAGAGGAUGAUCCGCCACACUGGGACUGAGACACGGCCCAGACUCCUACGGGAGGCAGCAGUGGGGAAUUUUGGACAAUGGGCGAAAGCCUGAUCCAGCCAUGCCGCGUGAGUGAAGAAGGCCUUCGGGUUGUAAAGCUCUUUCGGUGGGGAAGAAAUUGCAUGGGCUAAUACCCUGUGUAGAUGACGGUACCUGGAGAAGAAGCACCGGCUAACUACGUG